CACCCAAAAAAAGCAGACGGUUGUUCGUAAUAAGAAUUAUUCGCAAAAUUGUCCGAUAAUCAAGAUACCAUGUCUUCGUUUAUCAUCUGUGAAUCGCAACACCGGAAUUCUACAAAGAGGCCAAAGAUCAUCUCUGUGUUUAAUUCUUUUGGAGGAGGCUGUAUUUAUGGCAUCUUUGUAGCAAAUCAGAAAUAUGGAAGUAUAUAUGCAAAAGGUUAGUGAGGCUUUGUGGCUAUUCAGUCUGUAAAAUUCAGUAAGUAGAACUGAUUUAGUAAAUUCGAGGCUUUAAUAGGUUACAUGUAUACAAGCUAAUCAUCAUGUCUGAGUAUAAUUGGAACACUUUGUGCGGCUUCUAAUGAUGUUGUCUUUGGAGCUAUUCAAAAAGCUUGAAGCAAUGUUAAGGUUAUUUAGAUGAUAAGGAUUGCAUACUUUUUUUAGGUCUUACGAAUAUUUAGUUGCUGUUAAACUUUUGAAUGAGUAGAAUUGUGAUAGAAAACAUUGAUUUGUCAAUCUUUGUUAAAAUGAGUCUCGUGAUUGGUAUAUUGUUUUCUAAAGUUUUCAUUAGCAAUAAAUUGCUUUCUUAUAUUGUUUGAUGAUACUUAAUCAUCGUAACUGCUUCUGUAUAUGAAUUAUAUAACUUCAUAUUGCUUAAUAUGAAGUUAGUAAAGCAAACUUUUGAAUUGGAUUUUGAUACUCUGGAAAAAAGAGAAGAUGAAAAGAACAGAUAGUUGAUUCAAAACAACAUUAUUUCUUAUCUAGAAAAUGAUUUCAGUAACCACAAUACUUUCCAAAUGCCUUUAGAUUCUAGCUUUUCCCUGUUAAACAUAUAAAAGAAAUGAUUAUUAUAGGAUAGCAUAUUUCUAAAAAUAUUCAAUCCUUGCUGAUUAUUAGUAUAGAUUGUUACCUCUUGCAUAUCAUGUUGCUUGCAAAGCAAAUUGUUAUAUGUUUUGAAAAUCUUCUUUGAACACCACAUUCAUCGUUGCUUUCUGUGGGUUUCCUUCUUUGUCCAGUAUGAGGAUUUUUUGUCCUUUCUUAGAAGUUACCCUAGAGAUUGCAACAUAAAGUUGGCCAUGUGAAAGGUUUGAUGUCAGCAAGGUUGGUGAUCCCAAGCUUUAACGUGAAGAGAAUAGAUGAAAGCUUUAAAAGAUCCGGAUCAUAAAUGCAAGAGCUUAAUAUCGAGCCUAUUGAUUGUAAGCCCAAUAGGACCACUAAAAAAUUGCACAAAUCGGGUCUGCUAGGAUCCGCGUGUUUUACCGAGUGUAGACCCGAGAUCCGCGUGUUUAUCCGAAUGAUGAUCCGACUAAAGGAUCCAAGAUCCGCGACCCAGUUCGAGCCUAUUGUCCAUUAUACCCCUCGUCUAAAUCUUUUUUUUAGUCGUAGAAUCAAAUAUUUGUAAUGGCAUUUUUUGUAAUUUUUUACCUUUGAUAAGGUUAUU